rnacentral:misc_RNA from 1 species
CUGUCCAACAGGCGGUCCGCUGGGUCUCAUUGGAGCCAUGUUUGGAGGUAAUGCAGAUGGUGGAGGCCCUGACGAAGGUAUAUUAGGUCGGGUAAUUGAAGCUGGGGGUGGACCUGGCCGUGAAAAUUGAGGUGGUGCACCAGACAUCCCAGUUGGUGGGGGUGCUGACGAAGGAAAAGGGGGCGAUUGACCAAAUGGAGGUCUGGGGAAUGUAUUGGGCAUUGAAGGAGGUCGAUUGAGAUUCAUAUUAUUAAAAUUAUCAGCUAAAGAACCAGGAGUUGUCUGAGAAUUGGGGUAGUAAUUAGGCGGUGGUGGUGGAGCUUGAUUGCUGUUGCUUUCAUUGGGCCGAGGUGCCCCUGGAGGCACAAGAGCUGCCAUUGAUCAACCAGAUUCUCAGAAACCAAACUUUCCUACUCCAAUUCAAUAGAAUCUCUCUAUACAAAUUCGCUUUAUGGAUUCAACAACCCAGAUCAACUCUGGUGGGUUGUUGAUGCAGCGGCUAGUCGUAAG